rnacentral:rRNA from 1 species
UGGCGAACGGGUGAGUAAUACAUCGGAACGUGCCCAUGUCGUGGGGGAUAACGUAGCGAAAGCUACGCUAAUACCGCAUACGAUCUACGGAUGAAAGCGGGGGACCGUAAGGCCUCGCGCGAUUGGAGCGGCCGAUGGCAGAUUAGGUAGUUGGUGGGGUAAAGGCUCACCAAGCCUGCGAUCUGUAGCUGGUCUGAGAGGACGACCAGCCACACUGGGACUGAGACACGGCCCAGACUCCUACGGGAGGCAGCAGUGGGGAAUUUUGGACAAUGGGCGCAAGCCUGAUCCAGCCAUUCCGCGUGCAGGAUGAAGGCCUUCGGGUUGUAAACUGCUUUUGUACAGAACGAAAGGGCGCUUUUUAAUACGGGGCGCUCAUGACGGUACUGUAAGAAUAAGCACCGGCUAACUACGUGCCAGCAGCCGCGGUAAUACGUAGGGUGCAAGCGUUAAUCGGAAUUACUGGGCGUAAAGCGUGCGCAGGCGGUUUUGUAAGACAGAUGUGAAAUCCCCGGGCUUAACCUGGGAACUGCAUUUGUGA